rnacentral:rRNA from 1 species
UACGAAGGGUGCAAGCGUUACUCGGAAUCACUGGGCGUAAAGCGUGCGUAGGCGGUUCGUUAAGUCUGCUGUGAAAGCCCUGGGCUCAACCUGGGAACUGCAGUGGAUACUGGCGGACUAGAGUGUGAUAGAGGAUGGUGGAAUUCCCGGUGUAGCGGUGAAAUGCGCAGAUAUCAGGAGGAACACCUGAGGCGAAGGCGGGUUGCUAGGCUGACACUGACGCUGAGGCGCGAAAGCCAGGGGAGCAAACGGG